ensembl:lncRNA
CUGAAAAAUGGGAGGGGGGGAUUGGAUAUGUCAACAAUAUGUCAAGUGACAUUCUAUACUUACGGUUAUAGUGAAAUAUAUGAUUAAAGAGUGAAAAAGUAAAGGGCAUCUGGCCCACACCUGAUUUGAGUUUGAGAUCAUGGUCUAGACUCUACACUAUGUGAAAAAACAAGGCAAUUGCUAUAAUCAUAAUCAAUGUGUUUGGUCCGUCCUAGAUCCUGCAGGCAGAACACGAUGAGCAACCUGAGUGGGAAUCUCUUGGCACCUCACAAUUCGAUUCCGAUUCAGAGGUCAACUAUUAGUUUCUAAACCGAUUAUCGAUUAUCAAUUCUAAGUCGAUAAGACGAUUAUCGAUGCAUCUCGAUUUUUAAAACAUUUCAGUUUGCUACUCAGUCUCAAAUCUGAGUUUGCUACUAAAUCUGAGGUUGCUAUUUACUUCCUACUUUGUUUGAUAAUUAAAGAAAAUCAACAGAUACAUUUAAUCUUUUUUAUGAGAAAAUAUGGCUUUCUAUCAACAAUGCAAUAACCAAUGCAGCUUUCAUUUGAACACAAUAUGGGUUGCCUCUACUGGACAUACGCUAAUUGAGAUUCAUUGAACAAACACUGGUUUGUUUUCCUUCCUCAGCAGAUGGAUUUAACUCAUAAUUGUCCCUCCCUCUUUGCUGUAGCAGCUAAUGUUACAAACAUAUAUUAUGCAUGCUUGCUUUUCACUCCAGCUGUCUGUUUAGGUAGAUAGUCAUGGUUCAUAUCUAAUCGCAGAACAUACUUUGGAAAGAAAGAGGCAUGUGGAGACCUGAUCAGGUGCGGCUACAUGUGUGUGGCAGCGGCUUGUUUGGAUCAUUUGUUCUGCCUCUGCAUUGCGUUAUCAUAAAGGUGUAGUCUGGAGUUUUUUUAACUUUCGAGAUGAAUGACUACACAGAUAGCUUCAGACAAGGACAAUAAUAGUUUCUUGUUUGCAAUGAUUAGAGAUAUAUAUAUAAAAAGUAUUCGUUAGGACAGGCCUUUACUUAGAAGCAAACCAACUCAAGACAAUAACAAAACGACCGACUACACUAAGAAAUUAGUUCCAGUGACGGACUGGGUUUUACUUUGAUGUCUUUAUUAAUUUGUUCAAAGUCCGAUGGAUGAUCUCCAUUUUCAAGUUUUAUAAUAGUCGUUUCACGCUGGCUAGACAGAAAUAGCCGUUAUAUAUAUUUACACUACGAAAAAAUGUCUUUUGUGCAGAAACAGGAUCAUCAAGUUUUACAGUCCGUGAAGUAAAGACAGACACGUCUCACCCCUGGAUGAGCUGUCAUGGGAGGGCCCGUGCUGUCUUUUAUGAGAGUGUCUGAAGCGUGGAUCGGUUUCAGUGGACACCUCUGAAUGUCAGGAGGGUGGAAACAUAAUGUGAAGCUCUGUUUAACCAGUGGAUUUGGGUACCUACUUCACUGGUAGAAAUGAGUCAGCAUCCUCAUUUUAACACAUAUUUGUGGUGUGAGAGGUGAUUAAUAGUGUUGCCAACGGUGCUUGAACUUGGGAGAACGGAGUAAAAACUGCAGUCAUGGUUACAGGGUUACCAAGGGAACAAAGCCAGCACAGAUGAGUGGUCCUAUCCACUCUAAAAAAAAUAUAUAUAUAUAUAUCACAGCUUGGACUCAUUUUCAUUUACUUCAGAUGGUAAGAUAAAAUGUUAAUAGGCUGAAUUCAGAAAUACACUCUUUUGUGUUCACAAAAAUAGCAUCUUGUCAGGUCUCAAAAACAUGUCAUCUAAUUAUCAUCAAUAUUAAAACUCUGAAAUGAGACAUAAGAAGAGAGCAACAUCUGGUCUGCAUUAAUUCAUUACAUGAUGCUAUAUGGAGACAGUGCAGAGGACCGCCAUGUCCAGCAAAUACAGUGACUCACCACUGUGAGUUCAAAAACAUGCAAACAAGACAGAGACCCAACUCGCCCCAAGGUACGAAUGUAGGACGAUGCUCUUUCCAGGGCGUUUCCCCCUCUUGAACGACACUCACGUAGGAUGGAAUGUAGAAACACCUUUUUAUUCAAAAUGUUAUAGAGGCUAUAUUAAAUGCACACAAAAACAAACAUACAAGGUGCACCAAGGUUUAGUUAAAGUACGACCUAGUCAGAGUGAGGCCUGUUAGAAAACCCACUGUGUUCUUAACUGUCAUCAGAUUUUCCUUCUUUGAAAUUUAUUUGAGAAUGUUCUUCUGCUAGAUACUUCCUGAAGUCAAAGUCACAUAUUUCCAGCAAAAUCAGUGUGUGCUAACUAAAUGUGUCAAGAAACAAGAACACAAACUUGACAGGACUGUCCCCUUUCCCACAUUAAUAGUAGUUUUUUAAGAGUAAAUUAUCCACUAAUCUGACAGUUUAAUGCAAAAAAGCACUUCCCGACAUUUAUAUGACUAUUUUGUUUACUAUGUUGUUACUUAUUCAACAUUAGCAGGGUGC